GACGAACGCUGGCGGCGUGCUUAACACAUGCAAGUCGAGCGGAAAGGCCCUGCUUUUGUGGGGUGCUCGAGUGGCGAACGGGUGAGUAACACGUGAGUAACCUGCCCUUGACUUUGGGAUAACUUCAGGAAACUGGGGCUAAUACCGGAUAGGAGCUCCUGCUGCAUGGUGGGGGUUGGAAAGUUUCGGCGGUUGGGGAUGGACUCGCGGCUUAUCAGCUUGUUGGUGGGGUAGUGGCUUACCAAGGCUUUGACGGGUAGCCGGCCUGAGAGGGUGACCGGCCACAUUGGGACUGAGAUACGGCCCAGACUCCUACGUGAGGCAGCAGUGGGGAAUAUUGCACAAUGGGCGGAAGCCUGAUGCAGCAACGCCGCGUGCGGGAUGACGGCCUUCGGGUUGUAAACCGCUUUCGCCUGUGACGAAGCGUGAGUGACGGUAAUGGGUAAAGAAGCACCGGCUAACUACGUGCCAGCAGCCGCGGUGAUACGUAGGGUGCGAGCGUUGUCCGGAUUUAUUGGGCGUAAAGGGCUCGUAGGUGGUUGAUCGCGUCGGAAGUGUAAUCUUGGGGCUUAACCCUGAGCGUGCUUUCGAUACGGGUUGACUUGAGGAAGGUAGGGGAGAAUGGAAUUCCUGGUGGAGCGGUGGAAUGCGCAGAUAUCAGGAGGAACACCAGUGGCGAAGGCGGUUCUCUGGGCCUUUCCUGACGCUGAGGAGCGAAAGCGUGGGGAGCGAACAGGCUUAGAUACCCUGGUAGUCCACGCUGUAAACGGUGGGUACUAGGUGUGGGGUCCAUUCCACGGGUUCCGUGCCGUAGCUAACGCUUUAAGUACCCCGCCUGGGGAGUACGGCCGCAAGGCUAAAACUCAAAGGAAUUGACGGGGCCCCGCACAAGCGGCGGAGCAUGCGGAUUAAUUCGAUGCAACGCGUAGAACCUUACCUGGGUUUGACAUGGAUCGGGAGUGCUCAGAGACGGGUGUGCCUCUUUUGGGGUCGGUUCACAGGUGGUGCAUGGCUGUCGUCAGCUCGUGUCGUGAGAUGUUGGGUUAAGUCCCGCAACGAGCGCAACCCUUGUUCACUGUUGCCAGCACGUUAUGGUGGGGACUCAGUGGAGACCGCCGGGGUCAACUCGGAGGAAGGUGGGGAUGACGUCAAGUCAUCAUGCCCCUUAUGUCCAGGGCUUCACGCAUGCUACAAUGGCUGGUACAGAGAGUGGCGAGCCUGUGAGGGUGAGCGAAUCUCGGAAAGCCGGUCUCAGUUCGGAUUGGGGUCUGCAACUCGACCUCAUGAAGUCGGAGUCGCUAGUAAUCGCAGAUCAGCAACGCUGCGGUGAAUACGUUCCCGGGGCU
rnacentral:rRNA from 1 species